AGGGUUGUAGCUCAGUGGGAGAGCGCUUGCCUUGCACUCAUGAGGCCCUGGGUUCCAUCCUCAGCACCACAU
rfam:Ictidomys tridecemlineatus contig034211, whole genome shotgun sequence.